rnacentral:rRNA from 1 species
UGCCACAGCCAUAUCACCCUGCAGCCCAAGACUGGUUACUCACUGAAGCUAAGCAGAGCUGAGCCUGGUCAGUACUUGGAUGGGAGACCCUAUGGGAAAGCUAGGUUGCUGUUGGAA